UACGAAGGGGGCUAGCGUUGUUCGGAUUAACUGGGCGUAAAGGGUGCGUAGGCGGGGUUUUAAGUCAGGGGUGAAAUCCCGGGGCUCAACCCCGGAACUGCCUUUGAUACUGGGUAUCUCGAGUCCGAGAGAGGUGAGUGGAAUUCCGAGUGUAGAGGUGAAAUUCGUAGAUAUUCGGAGGAACACCAGUGGCGAAGGCGGCUCACUGGCUCGGUACUGACGCUGAGGUGCGAAAGCGUGGGGAGCAAACAGGG
rnacentral:rRNA from 1 species